AUGACAUGUGAAAUAAAACGUCAUCAUGUAUUAAAGAAGAGUGGCUUGGUUAAGUGCUGGAAACAGCGGAUGAUGGGCACAGAACGGUGGCCGAAAUGUCCGCCCAAUAGAGAAAAGUUUUGCUCAGCAAGAAAAAAAAUUAGAGGGAACAUUGGUCAUUGCAUUCAUAAGCUCAACAGAAAUCUUGUGUUAUUGGUUAUAAUGCGCAGUGCUGUAAAAACGCUUCUGUCUCUGGCUCAGUGCCAGCCAGCGAACCAGAGUCGGCGUCAGAGCAGAUCUACUGGAGGGGCAUUGGAUCAUCGGCGGGGGGGCACUGUCGUUUGAUAAAUAUUUUUUGACGUAUUGGCAACAUCAUAGUAGCAUGGAAAUCCAGACCUAAAUCUGAAAGAUCUAUAUAGAAUGACAAUGAACGAUUUAGACUUGGGUUUUUAUCUAAAAGAGGAACAGAAGACAGCGCUGAAAUUUGCUGUUUUGCCGACCGGAUACGGCAAGAGUCAGUUAGCUCCAAUGAUCUAUAUAGAAUGACAUUCUACCCUAGAAUGUUAGCUCCAAUGAUCUAUCUAUAUAGAAUUGUGACGAGUGGGGCGGGGCCGAGAGCCGUGGGAACGGAGCGAGGCCGGUGGAGUGAUUGGGAAAUGAGCGACACCUGCUCCACUCACCGGUCUCGAGUCCCACGGAGGAGAUUGGGAGGAUACAAAAGAGGAGCGACGACAGCGAAGGACGAGAGAGGACCAGGCCUGGGCUUUAUUUUGUGUUUGGUUUUUGUUUGUGCGCGGCAGUCGACCGUGAGGGGCUGUCGCGCUGUUUUAUCUUUAUUUGGUUAUUAAAAUUUUAUUUGAAUGUUCGCCGGUUCCCGCCUCCUUCUUCCCGUGACUAUUGAGUUUUUUAUUAUUACAAGAAUGUCAUUGUAUAAUUUUUUUAUUUUUAUUUUUACCUGUCUUGAUUCCUAAUACACAACAGAUGACGAUUGUUAGUUAAAACGUUCAGAAUACGAUUCCAUAUAAGGUUAGUAUAGCCUAGUUCAGCACUUUGCGAAUGGACAGCGACUCAAGUAGCACGUAGUAGCCUAUUCUCGCGUUCUACAAGUUCAGUAGCCUACAUUUUUGGGAAACGCGCGAGGAAUUGCGGCUAAUGUUUAUAACCUUGCACGUAGAGAGCGCUUUUUAAGAGCUAAGAUAGGCUAGGCUACAUCGUUAUCGGGAAACCCGGCCCAGAACAGAUAGCCUAAACAACAGAACAGGACAGAAAAUAAUAAUAUAAAUAUAAUAUAGGCUAAAUAAAAAACAUAAAAUAGGCCUACAAUAAAUAGCAAUAUAUAUUUUUAUACUUAAAUAAUUAACAAAUUACUGACUGACAAAAAAAUAAAACACUGAAUCAGUUUGAAGCUUUUGAAACACCGGCAAAAAAAUGUCCCCAUCAGACAAAGUUUUUUUCGUAUAGAUGUUUCUAAAAACUUAAGGUUUUUUUUCUUCAUAAAACGAGUUGGACAUCAUCACACAAAUGUCUGCGUAUUAAAUCUUUUGGCGGUUGCCCGGAGCUAGCAUUUGCAGAAGAAGCGCCAGCUCGGCUCUCAUAGACCAUGGUACUGGUGGUCGUGGCCGGAGUAUCUAAGUCUGCUGAUUGACGAGGCUGCGAAGGUCUAAACCAUUUUUCAGUAAAUCCAUUUUAGAAUUUUUUUAAAUUAGCUGCCAACAACUGUCUAUAAUAUAGACGGACAAACUGUUCUUCAAUUUGAAAUGGAUUUUGCACGCGUGCUGCAAAUCAAAUGUAACAAGUUUACUCGGCGACCAAUAAGCAUUCACCAUGACGAAGCCUAGUAACCAGGGCCGUAUUAAGACAGUGUGGUGCCCCUGGGCACUAUACCUCAAAAGCCCCGCCCCCAUCAGACAUAAUUAAGGUGAUUUCUCAAAUGUAAUUUAUUAACUUGUCCAACUACAUACAUGCAGGCAUAUAAGCAGAGAGCACUAUAUUCAAAAUGUCUCAAUCCAAAAUAUAUUCUGAAUGUGAAGUCAGAGAAAAAAAUACAUUGAUUGAUAUUUACAGCUCCAAACUUGCACAUGGUACAAUUUCUGGUAAGCUAAAUUUUUUUAUUAUUGCUUGACACAAAUUUCACAAUUUUAAUUCAAUUCAAUUAUUGUGAUUUGAUUUAAUAUUGACUCAUUUGGAUAAAUAUUAGGUACACAAGAUAGGCAUUAAUUUUUCUCAAGAAAAAAAAUAAAUCUCACCUAAUGCUGUAAACAUACAGAGAGCCCUUUCAGCUGGCAGUAUUAUUUAAGGUUAAAAAUAGUAGUCAUGUAAUCUUUAUUUAUUUAUAAUUUAUUAUUAUUAUUAUUGUUGUUAAGUUAGUGUUCAUAAACAAGUUAUGUAUGGUCUUUCAAGAAUUUCAAGUUAAUAAUAAAACAAUUUACGAAAAAUAUUUUUAAAGCUUGUGUCAUGUGGUGCCCCCCUAGUGGUUGUGAAUGGUUGGUGCCCCUGGGCACUGGCCCAAGUGCCCUUAUGGAUAAUCCGGCUCUGCUAGUAACGUGCCAUGAACAACCAAAAUUAUGCAUUUUCCCCAUUCUUUUUAUUUUAUUUAAUUUAAGUUACAGUUUGAACAUUGAAUAUUAAAAUAAUAACUAAAAGGGAUAUUUUUUUUGGGCCACGCCAUGGCCCUUUAGGAGGGGCAUCAAUGACCGCUAGGGGGGGCACGGCCCUCGAAUGCCCCACCACAGCGCCGGCGCUGCAGCGAACGCAGAUCUGAAUUUAGCAGCUGAUAAUAUGACUUGCUGUUCUCACGCCCUUUGUGUUUUUAUAUAUAUAUAUUAUAUAUAUAUAUAUAUAUAUAUAUAUAUAUAUAUUUUUUUUUUUGUCUUUUGGAAGCUGCAUUCAAAAUCCACUUGGCUCAAAAAUCUGAGGGGGCACGUGCCCCCUCACUUUGAAUGGGCAUGAUAUGGAGUCAAUAUAAUAUCACAUAUAUACGCAAAAAAAUAAAGUUUUGCAAAAGAAAAUAAAGUUUUGCAAACAAAAAUUAAAGUAUUGAGGAAAAUAAUUUUGCUUUUUGCAAACAAAAAUAAAGAAUUGCAAAACAUAAAUGAUACCGCGCGAAAGCAAUGAUUUUGCAAUACAUAUUUUCCAUGGUCAUAUCUACAAUUUUAUUUGCAACACUGAUUUUUAUUUUUGCGCGUCAGUCUAGUUUGAGCUUGCGCUGCAGUUUUUUUCCUGUGCGCUUCAUUUUUCUGCGCGUCUCGCUUUGUGGCGCUGUUUUGACGUGGGGGUGGAGUCAAGGGGCAGGGGCGUGUACAACAUGCCUCCCUGGAAGUGACGUCAUCGGCCCGAGACGCAGCUCACUGAUCCAGGUACUGUCAUGAUGAGCAGAUGCAUGCGAGUGGAUCGCUUCCUUUUAUUCACUAGCAUUAAAACAUGCAUGGUUUCGUUUUAUUAACUUUAUUAACAAAUGUAUAUGUGUAUUAGCAGCGUUUGCUCAAGUUAAAGAAGUUGUUACCAUGCACAUCUGUUGUUUAUUUCUCUCGAUGUGCACUCUUUUUACUGGCAUAAAGUUGGCUUGACGUUGGACGUUCGAUAUUCGCAAAUCUAGGGACCGUCUCUAAAGUUACAUGCGAAACUAC
ensembl:lncRNA